GGUGGAGCGAUUUGUCUGGUUAAUUCCGAUAACGAACGAGACUCUAGCCUGCUAAAUAGGCAGUGGAUUCUUAGUCCACUGUACUUCUUAGAGGGACAAGCAGCGUCUAGCUGCACGAGAUUGAGCAAUAACAGGUCUGUGAUGCCCUUAGAUGUUCGGGGCUGCACGCGCGCUACACUGAAGGAAUCAACAUGCUUCUCAACCUUGCCCGGAAGGGCUAGGUAACCCGUUGAAACUCCUUCGUGAUUGGGAUAGGGAAUUGCAAUUAUUUCCCUUGAACGAGGAAUUCCCAGUAAGUGCGGGUCAUCAGCUCGCGCUGAAUACGUCCCUGCCCUUUGUAC
rnacentral:rRNA from 1 species